UGAACGCUAGCGGCAGGCUUAACACAUGCAAGUCGAGGGGCAGCAUGUCCAGCAAUGGAUGAUGGCGACCGGCGGAAGGGUGCGUAACGCGUGAGCAACAUGCCCUAUACAGGGAGAUACACCAGGGAAACUUGGUCUAAUAUCCCAUAGCAUUCAUUGAAGGCAUCUUUAAUGAAUUAAAGCUUCGGUGGUAUAGGAUUGGCUCGCGUGACAUUAGCCAGAUGGUGAGGUAACGGCUCACCAUAGCAAUGAUGUCUAGGGGUUUUGAGAGGAAGGCCCCCCACACUGGGACUGAGACACGGCCCAGACUCCUACGGGAGGCAGCAGUGAGGAAUAUUGGACAAUGGAUGGAAAUCUGAUCCAGCCAUGCCGCGUGCAGGAAGACAGCCUUAUGGGUUGUAAACUGCUUUUAUACGGGAGCAAUAAGGGUUACGAGUAAUCCGAUGAGAGUACUGUAUGAAUAAGGAUCGGCUAACUCCGUGCCAGCAACCGCGGUAAUACGGAGGAUCCGAGCGUUAUCCGGAAUUAUUGGGUUUAAAGGGUGCGUAGGCGGCCAUUUAAGUCAGCGGUGAAAUUUUGCAGCUUAACUGUAACAGUGCCGUUGAUACUGUUUGGCUAGGAUUUGAUUGUAGUGUGCGGAAUGUGUGGUGUAGCGGUGAAAUGCUUAGAUAUCACACAGAACACCGAUUGCGAAGGCAGCACACUAAGUCAUUAUUGACGCUGAGGCACGAAAGUGUGGGGAUCAAACAGGAUUAGAUACCCUGGUAGUCCACACUGUAAACGAUGAUAACUCGCUGUCGGCGAUACACAGUCGGGGCCAAGCGAAAGC
rnacentral:rRNA from 1 species